AAAUCCAAUGUCCUUUUAUUUACAGGGUUUGCAGUUGCAGACAGUAGUAACUGGUGUUCCUUGAAACGAUGAUAGUACUCAUGUCGGUGUUGCCAUUUCCACUCUCCAAUAGACUACCCACACAAACCCACAAUCUGAUUUCGCAUCACCGUUUUCCUUCUUCCUUCACUUUCCACACAUCGUUCCCCAACAAAACCGUAGUCUUUGGUAUCAAUCCCAGCGACUCCAAAGACCCUUCUUUCUUCGACGAAAAUGGCGUCGUCAACGACAUGGAGGGUUACCUCAACCACCUCUCCCUCGAAUACGAUUCUGUUUGGGACACCAAACCCUCUUGGUGUCAACCCUGGACAAUAGCGCUCACGGGGCUUGCAGUUAUUGCCAUUAGUUGGUUGAUUUUGAAUUCUCUCUUAGUCACUUCCUUUGUAUCGUCGCUAAUAUUUGCAUGGUGGUACAUUUUCCUCUAUUCUUAUCCCAAGGUACCUGCCAGAUUUUAGUUAGAGGCUUUCGGCAUGCUUAGGGAAUGAAGCAUCAAUUUUGGUUUAUGUAGUGAUUUGUUCAGGCAUAUUCAGAGAUGAUUGCUGAGCGCAGAGAAAGAGUUACAAAUGGUGUUGAAGACACAUUUGGUCAAGGGAAGAAUCAGUGAUUCGUAUUAUUCUUACCCCAGCUGUAUCCAUCUUUUACGCCUUCUUUUCUUGUUCUGUGUAUCUGCUUGUAUUUGUAUAUUCAAUUACUGAGUAGUCGUUGUGUUACUGCCAAUUGGCUUGGAGAUAACAGAGUGAUGUACAAGUCUUGAAACCUAACACUCUGUAUAAUAAAUAUUUGACCUUGUCUUCUCACACUGGACGCGCAUGCGUAUGGAACUUAUGAUUUGGUUUGGUUGAAUUGAAUUAGAGGAUUGUUCC